AGAGGUCUCCCAUGAUGCGUUCA
rnacentral:miRNA from 1 species